AUUGAACGCUGGCGGCAGGCCUAACACAUGCAAGUCGAACGAGUGGCGGACGGGUGAGUAAUGUCUGGGAAACUGCCUGAUGGAGGGGGGUAACUACUGGAAACGGUAGCUAAUACCGCAUACCAUCGGAUGUGCCCAGAUGGGAUUAGCUAGUAGGUGGGGUAACGGCUCACCUAGGCGACGAUCCCUAGCUGGUCUGAGAGGAUGACCAGCCACACUGGAAAGGAGACACGGUCCAGACCCCUAGGGGAGGAAGCAGUGGGGAAUAUUGCAAAAGGGGCGCAAGCCGGAUGAAGCCAUGCCGCGUGUAUGAAGAAGGCCUUCGGGUUGUAAAGUACUUUCAGCGAGGAGGCGUUACCCGCAGAAGAAGCACCGGCUAACUCCGUGCCAGCCGCCGCGGUAAUUC
rnacentral:rRNA from 1 species